UGAUAGGUUGGGUGUGUAAGCGCUGUGAGGCGUUGAGCUAACCAAUACUAAUUGCCCGUGAGGCUUGACCAUA
rnacentral:rRNA from 1 species